CAAGUCGAGCGGAAGGCCACUUCGGUGGUACUCGAGCGGCGAACGGGUGAGUAACACGUGAGUAAUCUGCCCUUGGCUUUGGGAUAGCCACCGGAAACGGUGAUUAAUACCGGAUACGACCACUUCUCGCAUGGGAUGGUGGUGGAAAGUUUUUCGGCCAGGGAUGUGCUCGCGGCCUAUCAGCUUGAUGGUGAGGUAAUGGCUCACCAUGGCUUCGACGGGUAGCCGGCCUGAGAGGGUGACCGGUCACACUGGGACUGAGACACGGCCCAGACUCCUACGGGAGGCAGCAGUGGGGAAUAUUGGACAAUGGGCGGAAGCCUGAUCCAGCAACGCCGCGUGAGGGAUGACGGCCUUCGGGUUGUAAACCUCUUUCAGCAGGGACGAAGCGCAAGUGACGGUACCUGCAGAAGAAGCACCGGCCAACUACGUGCCAGCAGCCGCGGUAAUACGUAGGGUGCGAGCGUUGUCCGGAAUUAUUGGGCGUAAAGGGCUCGUAGGCGGUUUGUCGCGUCGGGAGUGAAAACGCCGUGCUUAACACGGCGCUUGCUUUCGAUACGGGCAGACUAGAGGUAUUCAGGGGAGAACGGAAUUCCUGGUGUAGCGGUGAAAUGCGCAGAUAUCAGGAGGAACACCGGUGGCGAAGGCGGUUCUCUGGGAAUGACCUGACGCUGAGGAGCGAAAGUGUGGGGAGCGAACAGGAUUAGAUACCCUGGUAGUCCACACCGUAAACGU
rnacentral:rRNA from 2 species